rnacentral:lncRNA from 13 species
AUGAUGGUGGUGUUAUUGGUAANNNNNNNNNNCUCUCUCACUCCCUCUCUCCUUCUCUCUCUCCCUCCUCCCCCCCCCUCUCUCUCUCUCGUACCUCAGGGGGACUCUUCUUUUGUGGUGAUGACCAACUACAUUAUGACCAAAGGUCAGAAAAUUGAAAAAUGUUCUGAGCCCCCAAACUCGAAGAAUCGAUGCAGCUCUGACGCAGACUGUGAAGGGAGAUCAGAACGUACGGGAGAUGGUAAAGUCCGGACGGCAUGGCAGUGUGACAGUGUGGCACAGUCCCCUUCACUAACUCUGGUGUUUCUCAACCUCUGGUCUGCGGACCAGCGCCAGUCUAUGGCAAAUCACCGGCCAGUCCCUGAGAUAGUUAACGGACACUAAUGUCGUCAGUUCUACAGUGCUAGUUUGAAUGUAAGUUGCCCCCGAGGAGGAAAAAACAUUGCUUGUUGGCCCCUGGUAUGAAAAAGGUUGAGAAACACUGUGACUGACUAACCCUCCUCACUACCCUCCGCAUUGGCAAAUCUAGCCAUCCAUUACUACCACUACCCCCUCCCUACCUGACUACUCACACUAGCCAUCGUCUCUGUGACUACGUUAUGAGGGAUAAACAACGAGGGGCUGGGAGUUCUGUGGAAAUAACGAGCCCUUCGUCGUCUAUCCUUUACUUUCUUAAAGUUUUACUAUAUAGAGGAUUCUCAUUAUACAUAUUUCUAGCCACCGGUGACCCUGUACUGAUAACUGAAAUUAAAUGUUAUUUAUCAGAAAUUAAAACGGCCCAUGAUUUCACUUGUCAGAGAGCAAAAAAAAUACAAAAAUAAUCUUUCAGGUGUUUUAAGUGUCCAGUUGCAUCAUCAUUGAGCAGCAGGGUGGCGGCAGGGUAGCCUAGUGGUUAGAGCGUUGGACUAGUAACCGGAAAGGUUGCAAGUUCAAAUCCCCUGAGCUGACUAGGUACAAAUCUGUCGUUCUGCCCCUGACCAGGCAGUUAACCCACUGUUCCUCGGCCGUCAUUGAAAAUACAAUUUUGUUCUUAACUGACUUUCCUAGUUAAAUAAAGGUUAAAUAAAAAAAAAAUGUUUUAGGAUUAAGUUGGUUUAUCGUUGGUUAACUUUCUCAGCGGUUCUUUGGUCAGUUUCAGUUAAUCUGUACUUUGGGGCUUCUAUGAGCUAAAUGUACAAUACACCAGUCACACAAAACAAAGCCACCAAGAUAAACAUUUUGACUAGUCAGGAAUUUCCCUGCAUUCAAGAAGAAAAAGUUUGCUUAAUUUAGAUCAACAACUUUCCAUGUUCUUAGCAGCCAGGAUCCAGGAUGGUUGAGUGACUUGGAUUUUCAUUCUAUUAAAGCAUGCAAACAGACACAGUCAGAGACUCAAGCACACAGUCAGAGACAUAGGCAGACAGUCAGAGACAGGCAGGCAGACAGUCAGAGACAGGCAGCCAGACAGUCAGAGACAUAGGCAGACAAUCAGAGACAGGCAGGCACACAGUCAGAGACAUAGGCAGACAGUCAGAGACAUAUGCAGACAGUCAGAGACAGGCAGGCAGACAGUCAGACAAUCAGGGACAGGCAGACAGUCAGAGACGGGCAGACAGUCGGAGACGGGCAGGCAGUCAGAGACAGGCAGGCAGACAGUCAGAGACGGGCAGACAGACAGUCAGAGACGGGCAGACAGUCAGAGACGGGCAGACAGUCAGAGACGGGCACACGUCAGGGACAGGCACACAGUCAGAGACAGGCACACAGUCAGAGACAGGCACACAGUCAGAGACAGGCAGAUAAAUUGUAGAGUAGUAGCAGUAUAUCCAAUAACAAUUCUAAAGCCUAUAUAACGUGGCAGUUGAAAGGGUUGGUUGUGUAUUUUGUCCUUAUGUGACUCUGGGUUACAGCCAAGCCUCUUCAAGCUCUCAGAACCACAUCAGCCCUUUCACUUUCAUCAUCUGCUGUUGGCAGAUGAUUUAGAUCUGUUGACGCCACCACUGUCAUGUUGACUUGGGGGGGCAUCUAUAUAUCCUUGUGUCCUUGAGAAGGAUGUGCUGGUUAAUGGUUAGACUGUGGUUGAAACUAGAGGCAAGCAAACAGAACAGAAGCUGUUAAAGCCCUCAGGGUGAACCGGUCUUAUGAUCAUGUCCUGUAGGGUGGCUCACUUUACCGUGUCUGUAAAUCUUUUUCACACUACUCUGCCAAUCCAGCUAGGGUCAGAGAGACGGGACCAGAAAGACAGGACAGGGAGAGACAGGACAGGGAGAGACAGGACAGGGAGAGACAGGACAGGGAAAACAGGACAGGGAGAGACAGGACAUGGAGAGACAAGACCAGGGAGGCAGGANNNNNNNNNNUCUCUCUCACUCCCUCUCUCCUUCUCUCUCUCCCUCCUCCCCCCCCCUCUCUCUCUCUCGUACCUCAGGGGGACUCUUCUUUUGUGGUGAUGACCAACUACAUUAUGACCAAAGGUCAGAAAAUUGAAAAAUGUUCUGAGGUAAGUCAACUCCUCUCAAAAUACUUUCUUAAUUCUUUGUAUGUCCUUGCUUUUCCUAAAUUUGCACAGAGAUCAUGAUUCAGAAGUGUACAAAAAAAAUUAGGAACACUUGCUCUUUCCGUGACAUAGACUGGCCAGGCGAAUCCAGGUGAAAGCUAUGGUCCUUUAUUGAUGUCACCUGUUCGAGUGUGUCAUGAACUGCAAUGCUGCUGGGUUUUUCAUGCUCAACAGUUUCCC